ACUUGAACAAACGUGGACACAAGAAUGACGAAUUUGUGCUUGCAAGUCAAGUCAACCAAGUCUUUUAUAUUGAUGACCCAUUAACAAAGGGGUGGUCAAUUGUGCUUCCAGUUCCAAAUAGAUGUUAUGAGGGAGAUGCUGAUGACAAUUGGAGCAGUAUUCCUGAUUCUAGACCAAUUGAUGAUGUUGAUACUCAUUGCAUUCCUGCACAUGAAAGAUAUAUUAGAUCAGAAAUUGAGGGUGUUUGGGUCACAAAAAAGAAAAAAUGAUGUUUUAAAUUUUUGUGUAAUGUUUAUGUUAUGAACAUAAAGGAAUGUUUUAUGCACUUUAAAAAAUUAUGUUAUGUAAUUGCAUGUUAUGCUUAUACUUGUGUUGCUAUUUAUUUAUAUUUUUGCUAUUAUGAUUAUAUAUGUCAUGUUUUUGUUAUUGUACCAAUUUUAAUAGCGGUUUCAUUGAUGUUCUUAUGCAGACAAUACUCGAUGGGUCGUAAAAAACAAGUAGUAGCAGUUGAGGAGAUACAUGGAGUAGUUGAUGCUGAGCUACAUGGUGUAGCUGAUACAGAGGUACAUGAAGGUACUGAUAGAGAAGAACGUUCUGUCGAUGUGCAGAAGAACAAACGAGGUCCUACAUCAAUGUGUAAACUUACUGCAGCUGCAAGAUGGGGGAAAAAAGCGAAGAUUGAUUAUGAUGACAUGGGCCGACCAUUAUACAAUGCAAAUGGAAAGGCAUUGCAAUCGUACAUUGGCUGUGUUGCUAGAACCAUGGUGCCAAUCAACAUAAAGUCUUGGCCUACUGUCCCAGAAAAUAUAAAACAAAAAUUGUGGGAAGAGAUUUCGAAUGUGUUCGAAUUAACACCACAAAGUGAGACUGCUGUGAUGAAUUCAGCAUCUCAAAAGUGGCGAGAUUUUAAAAAUAAACUCACUAGCAGAUUUGUUUGGCCAAAUAAAGACAAUCCUGAAAAAUUGAGUUCUCCACCUAGCCAAUAUCAAAUCCCAAAAGCAGUUUGAAAAGCAUUUGUAGAUGAGAGACUUCAUUCAUCAUGGGAGGCUAUUCAUGAAAAGCAAAAAGAACGAACCAUGCAUUAUAAAUAUCAUCACAGAUUGUCUCGCAAAGGUUACAUCGGCUUAGAGGCUGAAUUGAUGAGCUAUCAUGCAAUUAUACUUAUCAUUUUCAAGCAAGUAUUUAAUAUUAUGUAGCUGAUCAUUUUUGGAAUUGUAGAGGGAAAAAAAAAUAAUUGCUGAAAAUGAGGAAGUUGAUAGAUCGAUGCUUUGGCGUAAAGCCCGUGAGGAUAAAUCUGGCAACAUAACAAAUAUGGAGAUAGCAGAAGUCGUUGCAAAAAUUGAUGACUUAAUGGAAAAGAAAGUCAAAGGAGAGUUCAAAUCUUCUGGGAUGAAUGAUGUGUUAACUACUGCUUUAGGAAAUCAAGAACACUAUGGAUGGGUUAGAGGAGUGGGAGGAUGUGUAAAACCCCAACUCUACUUUAAAACUGCAAGAAAGAGUAGAGAAUCAGUCCCAAAGGAUUUGAUCGAUAAUUUCAAAGAACAAUCGGAGGAGAAUAAGAGCUUGAAGGCUGAAAUAGAGAAAUUGAAGGCUCAACUUGCUCAG